rnacentral:rRNA from 1 species
GACGAACGCUGGCGGCGUGCCUAAUACAUGCAAGUCGAGCGCAGGAAACUGACGGAACUCUUCGGAGGGAAGGCAGCGGAAUGAGCGGCGGACGGGUGAGUAACACGUAAGGAACCUGCCUCAAGGAUUGGGAUAACUCCGAGAAAUCGGAGCUAAUACCGGAUAGUUCAACGGACCGCAUGGUCCGCUGAUGAAAGGCGCUUCGGCGUCACCUUGAGAUGGCCUUGCGGUGCAUUAGCUAGUUGGUGGGGUAACGGCCCACCAAGGCGACGAUGCAUAGCCGACCUGAGAGGGUGAUCGGCCAAACUGGGACUGAGACACGGCCCAGACUCCUACGGGAGGCAGCAGUAGGGAAUCUUCCACAAUGGACGAAAGUCUGAUGGAGCAACGCCGCGUGAGUGAUGAAGGUUUUCGGAUCGUAAAACUCUGCUGUAAGGGAAGAACACGUACGAGAGGGAAUGCUCGUACCUUGACGGUACCUUACGAGAAAGCCACGGCUAACUACGUGCCAGCCGCCGCGGUAAGAC